UCAGGUGGUUAUUGCGGUGAGGUCCCACCUCUUCCCAUUCCGAACAGAGAAGUUAAGCUCACUUGCGCCGAUGGUA
rnacentral:rRNA from 1 species